CGAGUUGGCCGGGCAGUCGCUGCGUUCGCAAGAACGGGGAGGAAAGUCCGGGCUCCAUAGAGCAGGGUGCCAGAUAACGUCUGGGCGGCGUGAGCCGACGACCAGUGCAACAGAGAGUAGACCGCCUGCCUUCGGGCCGGUAAGGGUGAAAGGGUGCGGUAAGAGCGCACCGCGCGGCUGGUAACAGUUCGCGGCACGGUAAACUCCACCCGGAGCAAGAUCAAAUAGGGUUCCACUAUUCUUCGGAAUUAAUGCGUGGCUCGCGUUGGAACCGGGUAGAUUGCUUGAGCCUGUGAGCGAUUGCAGGCCUAGAGGAAUGACUGCCGCUCCUUCGGGAGAACAGGACCCGGCUUAUAGGCCAACUCACCUA
rfam:Shewanella algae strain BrY contig_16_1, whole genome shotgun sequence.